ACCUGAGGGAUGGAAAACCCAUCCCGAAGGAAACCUUCAUGGUGCGGUUCAGAGAAGCGGAGGCAAGUGUUCCUGGCAUAGCAGCAAAAGCUGCGGAAGCACUAGCAUAUGAUGAGCCUGUUGUUUUAACAGAUGCCCAGGGAAAUCAGCUUCUUGACACGAGUGGAACUACAGCCAUGGAGAUGGAGGGGGCGGUCUAGAAGAAAUAUCCAGGAAAAUUGAAGAUGUGCUGUCUGUAGCACAGGAACUUGGUGGAGUUGCUGCCUCUUUAAGGAGCCUGGUACAACUCAGCAAUGCAACAACAUGCCUUGUGAUCUCAUCACAGCAAGCUGAGGAGAUAAAGGCGUUGUUUGCCUGUUUAGUCUGCAAAGGGCCAAUGAAUGAACCUGUGCUGUCUUCAUGCUGCUCUAGUCUGGUAGGGUGCAGAUUGUGUGUGGAGUGGUGGGGCCUAACCUCAGACAUUUGUCUGAAAUGCAGAGCUUCAAACUUCACCCUACAGCGAGUCAAUGGGUUA